UGCAAAGGCUGUCCCGCAGAAGCAGCCUACCUAGAGGCAGCCUGCAGAAUGCAUUUUGGACAGACUUUGUCUUGCAUCCUGAAUGGAUGCAGGGAUGGUGGUGGUGUGUUUCAGAGAAGGACACGCUAGUCCAAAUUUAAUGGUGGUGUCUUGGAGAGCCGCACUGCUCUUUGGGGUUGAAAGUUCAGAGUCCUGACUUCUUAUUUCUGGCUCCCAGCACGUACAACUCCAUCUUCCUGACAGUUCCUUAUCCACCUGCAGUGCUGUGCUCAGGAACUGUGCUCGGAGGGAGGUCUACGAGGAAUCCAAAAGCCCUAAACCACGCCUAUAACGGGGGGUGUCUGCCACAGAAAGGAGUAUUGUUUUUUAAACCCAUUAAAUAAUUACAAGUCUAAACCACGUUCAAAAAUGUUCUUCAGAGAUGCAAAAUCCAAACUAUAAAAGUUAGGGAAGUUUUGAGAAAACACAACUUUACUUUAAGUUGCCUUGGAGUUCUUUUUUGGACAGCAUUUUCUCCAUAAUGUAGCUGUGCAUUUACAUUGGGGCACAAUCAAGAAUGGCAGCUGGUUCUGAAACAGUGAGUGGUCAGUCCCUAGAAAUUCUAGCAUAUUUCCAGGCAUUUCAAUUUCUUUUCACAGAAGCAGAAUUGCUUUUGGCUUACAAAACGUGUGUAAAUGAUAAUAGUGGUGAGAAACCAAGUCUAUUUGAGAAGGCUGUGGGUGCAGAGAGUGUUGUUAGCGCCUUGUGGUUGAUGCUUUAGAGUCCCUUUUUCCCGAGGUGACAAGGCAUCGUGGCCCAUGAGCACAAGGAGAAAGAGGCUCUUGUAAUGUCUGUACCUAAUGGCUUUCAACGUCAUUGCAGGUGGCUGUAAAGGAACUUGAUCUCCAGCACCAGGGCUGCGAGGACGUAUUGAAAGAAAUCCUGGUCAUGAGGGAAUACAAGAACCCAAAUAUUGUCACCUACCUUGAAAGCUACCUUCUGAAUGAGAUUCUCCUGCUGGUCUUGGAGUAUAUGGACGGAGGCUCUUUAGCUAAGGUGAUCCACAUGGGAACGAUGGCUGUAGGACACAUAGCAACGGUCUGCCGGGAGGUAAGGGAUCCUGCUUGUGCUUGCCAUGGCUUGGCAUGGCUUGUCCUUGGAAGGUGCUGCUAAGUGAGUGAUUCCAUGUUCAGAGCUUUCUUUCUGCAUUGCUCUUUUACGCUUCAGAGAAGCAAGAGCAUCUGGACUGAACUGCCUGCCUGUGGCCCUGCCUGUACUGCAGUCUUCUUUACACUUAUCUACUGUUGUGGAACCCUCUGUCUCUUUUGCCGUUUUAUUUUCUGUUCUGUGCUUUGCCCCUCCAAGCCUCUGCCCAGAACCUUUCUGCAUUGCCUUCUUUGCCUGUAAGUGCAAAGUGGCUGCUGUCUGAGUUUUAAACCUAUGGCAAAGCCAAAGAGAGACUCAUCUCUCACAGGUCUGGCCUUCAAAUGAUGGCAUGGCCCCCACCAUGGUGCUUGCUGCUGAAAACUGACAAAAGAGCUCCUUCUGAGUCUGCUGUCAAGGCAGCCUUAUAACCCUUGUCCUCCAGUCUCCCAGCUGACAGUGAUCCCCUUGGUACCCAAGGCAGGGACUUCUCCUCUUUUGGCAAACCGUUGCUUGUCCUCCGGAUGGGGAAAGCACAUCAGCUGCAGCAGCACUCAUUCCCACUGGCUUUGCAGGGGACAGUCUCGAGCAAGGACUGAUGUUUCCCCCUCAGCAACUAAUAUGUCUUCCCUUGGAAUGAUCGUGCUCUCCUAGAGUUGAAGCAGCAAGCUCUUCCUCUUGCCACCACUCACUGCUCCUUUGAGAUCUGUGAAUCUUCAGGAGCAGUUUCCUUUGGCAUGUGAUGCAAUCAGAUCAGGCUAACUUUUGGCUUCCCGUUUCUUUUUUCUCUCCCAGUGCCUGCAAGGCCUGGCCUUCCUUCAUGCCAACGACGUGAUCCACAGAGACAUCAAAAGUG
ensembl:lncRNA